GCUCUGCACAAGGAGUUACUUCAGCUAUCUACCUGCAACUCUGUGGAUGAGGCAGAAGGAUACCCCUAAAGAUGCUUUACAGAGACCCAGAGCCUGAACCCCUGAGCAAGCAGACAGUGGCAAGGCAACUCCCUUUUAACAUGAAGAAGAAACCUUGAGCAGGACCCGGCUCACAAGGGAGAACUAUCCUGCUGAUUGUCGGCUGGGUGAAGGGGGGAACACUUCACAACUAAAUGAGACGGAAACAGUGGAAGAGAUAUGACAAUUUAUGCAGACCAAGACCAUCGACACCUCUGUGGCUCAUGAGAGAAGUCAGAGGAGAACGGCACUACUUGUUCAAGUUAACCGGCCACAAAUAAAUGACAGCUGAGAACAACGGCAGUCUGCAGAAGGACAUUUCAAAAAUCACACAUCAUUUAACCUUGAAUUG